ACCCUCCUCCAAUAGCUAGCCGACAGCCCUCCACCUCUCCUGCUCUCACCUCGCAGCACCAUGGAGCUUCUAGAUCCGCCGGAUCCCCCACCAAUCCAUCCCUCUUAAACCCAUGGCUAAGGUUUCGGCCUCCCUCAGAUUCGUCCCUCCCGCAUGUUCAUCUUUUCUAGGAUCCAUGGCAACCUUGCCUCAUCUACUCCCCUCCCUCUUAGAUCGACCAGGCUAUGCUCCUCCCGUGGGAUCCAUGGCGCGGGUUACCACACAACAGCUGAUCUGUGAUGAGCAAGGCAGGGAAGAGGUGUUCCUUCUCAUGGUCUGCCGUGCAGCUUGCCUUCCACGACGUCCUUGGAGAUGUAUGCAACUUCUUCAGCGCCUACAAAAAUUCACGGGGCCAUGAAGAUCAGAAGCUGCAGCCGUACCACCACGGCGGUGGUGGCUAUGGAACCUUGGAGGAGUUGCUUAAGUUAUCAUGUGGGCACAACUAGGAAUAAACAAGAAGCUGAAAUGCGUGUACAUAGAAUUGCAAUCUAAAGGAGCGAUGGAAGUGAAGAUUGAGCGCUUUUCUUUAACAUUAAUAAUAGAUGGUUUGGCAGUUGGUCCAUGUCAUUGGAGAUUGAAGUUUUUUACCAGGAAUUACUUGGGCCUGAAUAGCUACCUGGAAGUGGUGGUGUAGUGUUGGAGAUUAAAAUCAGCUAGUAGUGCAUUUUAGUCAGUUUACUUGAUUUUUUUAAAUGCUUAUAGUGCGUUCUAGUUAUGCUUGUGAUGUUUUGAUAUUAAGCUUUGUUUUUUGAAAUCAUACUAGAUUGUUGGAAAUCUGUAAUUGUGUUGUGAACAAGUGCUAUUAUUUGAAUGAAUAUAAUUU